rnacentral:rRNA from 1 species
AACGAACGCUGGCGGCAGGCUUAACACAUGCAAGUCGAACGCCCCGCAAGGGGAGUGGCCGCCGGGUGAGUAACACGUGGGAACAUGCCCAAAGGUACGGAAUAUUCUCGGGAAACUGAGAGCAAUACCGUAUGUGCCCGAAAGGGGAAAGAUUUAUCGCCUUUGGAUUGGCCCGCGUCGGAUUAGCUAGUUGGUGGGGUAAAAGCCUACCAAGGCGACGAUCCGUAGCUGGUCUGAGAGGACGACCAGCCACACUGGGACUGAGACACGGCCCAGACUCCUACGGGAGGCAGCAGUGGGGAAUCUUGGACAAUGGGCGCAAGCCUGAUCCAGCCAUGCCGCGUGGAUGAUGAAGGCCCUAGGGUUGUAAAAUCCUUUCGUUGGGGACGAUAAUGACGGUACCCAAAGAAGAAGCUCCGGCUAACUUCGUG